CUUUAAUUUACUGUAUGAAAUAAAUGAAAGAUGAAAACACAUGAUUGAGUUGAUUUGACACGUUUUCGCGACCUAAUUGAAUGAUUUGGGUUUGGUAGGCCUUGUAAGCAUGAAGUUAUUGAUGUCCUUGGCAAUUUAUGAUUUUACAAAUCUUGUCAUUCUUUAAUUUAUUUUUCAUAUUAUUAAACAUUUGUCUGUACUAUAUCCUAAUUAGAAUUUAAUCAAUUAUAAAAUCGAAACCUAUUAAGUAGUUCGGCCCACAUAAUUUACGUCCCAAGACAAUAUAUAACAAUGUCUAUGUUUAUAUUUUAGUGAUAGUAUAAUACAGUGUUAAUAAGUUUAAAAAAAAUACAUUAUUAUUAAGUUAACUUACAAAGUUGAGUGUUAAACUUUAAAGUUGAAUAGUCGUAAAUUUAUAUAGAAUAAUAAAUCUAAUUCUAUUUUAUUAUAUAUUAUUUUAUAUUCUAGAUCCUGGUCCUGGCUGAAAUUUGGAGUAUUGCAGCUGUAGUCUGUAAACCAUACACUCAACAUGAAAAGGACUGUCAGGAUGCUGCAUAAAAUGGUCUUAGCUAGAGCCUAGAAUGUUAAUUUCUUGGGAAUAUGCUGCAAGGAACUGACGGGGAGCAGUUUUUCUUACCAAUCAUAGAAGCAGUAAGAGACAGCCAAAAAAGUACUCAAACACCUGACAUACCCAGAAAGAUCUAGAAGAAAAGAUUGGAACAGAUUGUAGCUUAAUUGUUAAAACUAUUAAAGUGAAUUUAAGCUGCACUUGAGCUGUAUUUUUUAAAUAAAAUAUCUGAAGUAUUUAAUAUUGUCUUGAUAUUUUGUUAAACUUUGUAACUUUGCUUUAUAUCCAAAAAUUAAAGUAUGGUGGGUUUUCAACGUUGAAAUGACAUUGAAACUUCAACGUUGUACCGACGUUGAAGCUGCAACGUUGUAUCAACGUUGAAAUUUCAACGUUGUUUCAACUUUCAAAUCCGAAUAUAAAUCCAACCUUAUUUCAACGUUGAAAUCUGACCAUAAUUCAACGUUGAAACAACGUUGAUGUGCCUGC